UCCCCCCCCCCGCCCCCCCCUGGUUACCAAGAAUACUUCCAAAAAGGCUCCCCCCCACACCCCCCGCCUUCCAUGGAGAACCGCCAAGAGGACACUGGUUGUUCUUCUUUUCUGAAGGGAUGUUUGGCUGCACUUUGUUGCUGCUGUCUGUUGGAAGAGUGCUUCCUCUAAGCCUUGUUCUGCCUCUAAACAAAUACAUUAUAUCUCAACAUUAGAUAAUUCUGCUUCUAUUGCAGACUGUUAUCUUCACAGUUC
rnacentral:misc_RNA from 1 species